rnacentral:snRNA from 1 species
AUGAGUUUUGGAGUUUAAUAAAAAAAAAAAAAAAAAAAAAUCUGUUCUUAUCAGUUUAAUAUCUGAUACGUCCCCCAUCCGGGGACUACAUAUUAAAUGGAUUUUUAGAUCACGGAGCUGGAGCCGGGGCUUGCUCCGUCCACUCCAUGCAUCGGCCUGGUAUUGCAGUGUCUCCAGGAACGGUGUGCUUUCC